CUAAGGCCAACGGGAGAAGGGUUGUUAAGGAACUCGGCAAAUUGACCCCGUAACUUCGGGAGAAGGGGUGCUCCAGCGAUGGAGCCGCAGAGAAUCGGCCCAAGCAACUGUUUACCAAAAACACAGGUUUGUGCUAAAUCGAAAGAUGACGUAUACGAGCUGACGCCUGCCCGGUGCUGGAAGGUUAAGAGGAGAUGUGCAAGCAUUGAAUCGAAGCCCCAGUGAACGGCGGCCGUAACUAUAACGGUCCUAAGGUAGCGAAAUUCCUUGUCAGGUAAGUUCUGACCCGCAUGAAAGGCGUAAUGAUUUGGGCACUGUCUCAACAGCCCGCCCGGCGAAAUUGUAGUACCGGUGAAGAUGCCGGUUACCCGCGACAAGACGGAAAGACCCCAUGGAGCUUUACUGUAGCCUAAUAUUGGGUUUCGAUGUUGCAUGCACAGGAUAGAUGGGACACAGGGAAGCAGGUGCUUUGGCGCUUGUGGAGUGGCCGUUGGGAUACCAUCCUUGCGAUAUUGGAAUUCUAACCUGCGCCUUUGAAUCAAGGCGGGGGACAUUGUUAGGUGGGCAGUUUGACUGGGGCGGUCGCCUCCUAAAGAGUAACGGAGGCGUUCAAAGGUUCGCUCAGCUUGAACGGAAAUCAAGCAAAAGAGUGCAAACGCAGAAGCGAGCCUAACUGCGAGACUGACGGGUCGAGCAGUAACGAAAGUUGGAGUUAGUGAUCCGGUGGUAUGUGAGUGGAAAUGCCAUCGCUCAACGGAUAAAAGUUACCCUGGGGAUAACAGGCUGAUCUCCCCCAAGAGUCCACAUCGACGGGGAGGUUUGGCACCUCGAUGUCGGCUCAUCGCAUCCUGGGGCUGUAUUCGGUCCCAAGGGUUUGGCUGUUCGCCAAUUAAAGCGGUACGCGAGCUGGGUUCAGAACGUCGUGAGACAGUUCGGUCCCUAUCUGUCGUGGGCGCAGGAUAUUUGAUGGGAGCUGUUCCUAGUACGAGAGGACCGGAGCGGACGUACCUCUGGCGCACCAGUUGUUCUGCCAAGAGCAUAGCUGGGCAACUAUGUACGGAUCGGAUAAACGCUGAAAGCAUCUAAGCGUGAAGCCGACCCAAAGAUAAGAUAUCCCAUUGUUUCAAACAAGUAAGACCCCUUGAAGACUACAAGGUUGAUAGGCACGAUGUGUAAGUGGAGCGAUCCAUUCAGCAAGCGUGUACUAAUAGGUCGAGGGCUUGACCAC
rnacentral:rRNA from 1 species